rnacentral:rRNA from 1 species
GAUGAACGCUGGCGGCGUGCCUAAUACAUGCAAGUCGAGCGAACAGACGAGGAGCUUGCUCCUCUGACGUUAGCGGCGGACGGGUGAGUAACACGUGGAUAACCUACCUAUAAGACUGGGAUAACUUCGGGAAACCGGAGCUAAUACCGGAUAAUAUAUUGAACCGCAUGGUUCAAUAGUGAAAGACGGUUUUGCUGUCACUUAUAGAUGGAUCCGCGCCGCAUUAGCUAGUUGGUAAGGUAACGGCUUACCAAGGCAACGAUGCGUAGCCGACCGGAGAGGGGAUCGGGCAACCGGGAACUGAGACACGGUCCAGACUCCUACGGGAGGCAGCAGUAGGGAAUCUUCCGCAAUGGGCGAAAGCCUGACGGAGCAACGCCGCGUGAGUGAUGAAGGUCUUCGGAUCGUAAAACUCUGUUAUUAGGGAAGAACAAAUGUGUAAGUAACUAUGCACGUCUUGACGGUACCUAAUCAGAAAGCCACGGCUAACUACGUG